rnacentral:rRNA from 1 species
CUACGUGCCAGCAGCCGCGGUAAUACGGGGGGUGCGAGCGUUAAUCGGAAUAACUGGGCGUAAAGGGCACGCAGGCGGUGACUUAAGUGAGAUGUGAAAGCCCCGAGCUUAACUUGGGAAUUGCAUUUCAUACUGGGUCGCUAGAGUACUUUAGGGAGGGGUAGAAUUCCACGUGUAGCGGUGAAAUGCGUAGAGAUGUGGAGGAAUACCGAUGGCGAAGGCAGCCUCCUGGGAUAACACUGACGUUCAUGCUCGAAAGCGUGGGUAGCAAACAGGAUUAGAUACCCUGGUAGUCCACGCCCUAAACGAUGUCAAUUAGCUGUUGGGCAACUUGAUUGCUUAGUAGCGUAGCUAACGCGUGAAAUUGACCGCCUGGGGAGUACGGUCGCAAGGUUGAAACUCAAAGGAAUUGACGGGGGCCCGCACAAGCGGUGGAGCAUGUGGUUUAAUUCGAAGCAACGCGAAGAACCUUACCAGGUCUUGACA